rnacentral:lncRNA from 10 species
UGGAAACUGCUCACCUAUGUCAUGGAGGAAGAGGCAUGAGGGCUGAGAUAGCAAAAAGGCCAUGUGUCCGUCCAUUUGGCCUUUUGGGAAACAGUCUGCAGUGGAGUCGACCCUCCGUGAAGGGAAGGCCUGAUGGCGUCUGAUUGAUCCUGCUAGGGAGGGCUCCUACUGGCUCUGGGGGUUUAGCAUCCCCACGCCCACUCACCUGCCUCAUUCUGGCUUCACCAUCUCUCCCUUGGACUGGGUGCUCUCCUUCCUCAGACUCCACCCUGCAGUCCACCCUGGGUCCCCCAAAGGAUCUUUGUUAUCCCCCAAAGGAUCUGUGUCAUAGAACACAGGUAAGUGUUCAAAAGUUCUCCCCUGGCCGGGCUCACACACAUAAUUCCAGCACUCUGGGAGGCUGAGGCGGGCAGAUUGCAAACAUAGUGAAACCAUCUCUCUACUAAGAAAAUACAAAAAAU